CCAUUAAUACUCACCCUAGGAUAGGAUGCUUUGGCAGCCCGUUUGACUGAGGCACCACCUACAGGAAACAAAGAGCAGGACACGUCACACAUCUACUGAGCAGCCAGCAGGAACCACAGCACUGUGUUCAGUAUUCCAUGCACAUUCCUACAUCCAGCAGUCACACAGGUCUGAUGUCUAACAGGAAGACAGCCGAUCACACGGAAGAGUCGACUCACCGACAGUCUGGAAACUAGUCCUGCUGGAAACGCGAGUCAAGUUAACCUCAUGUUAAAGAUGCAGGAUAUGGUAUAAAAGCAGACACGUAAGGAAUAAUUGACUUCGGUCCAUUGAAUUAUUAGAAAAAUAAAGCACACCUGAAGUGGUGAUUCACGUCGUGGCCGAAGUCAUAAUUCAACGGACCGAAGUCAAUUAUUCCGCUUAUACUACGGUUGCCACACCUCAAGACAUCGAUCAGAUGAUAUAUUUUCAAGGCAUUCGUCCGGUUUUUCUACUUAAAUCGCUAUUGUGAGUAGGAUUAUUUCUUCCACAUCUCAUCCUCCGUUGCUAAUUCCUAAACAUCAUUUUAAACCUAGUAACGGAGGCUUGAGCCAUUGAUGGCAGACUAAUGCAAUUACUACAGUUAAUAACUAAGUUAUGAGAGAGAGAGAGAUGUACAUGCUUUCCAUACAUAAAGCGUAAUUUUGUGGCAAAACAUGGACAUGAUCUAUCGUUUUUAACCUUUUGUUUACUAUAUUUAUUUGUUUGGCCAGUGUCGUUGUGGGUUUUGGUUAUUUUGCUGCUGGAAGACCUUUGAAAUAACAGAAAUCAUUUGGCGAAGUGAUAUGGUCAUGUAAUGCGGUCAAGAGCUGUCUGGAACUACGUUCGCCGUGUGUUUCCCUGAAAAUAAUUGCACACCUUAGAAUGUUCAUCAGCCAAUCAGAUUCAAGCAUUCAACGGCCCCAUAGUAUAAGAUCUGAUAGCGCACAUCAGGUGUGAGUGUCUGCUACAAACAGGGAGUCUUUCAUAUACGCCGUCCAAGGACUUUGUGUGCAAAUACAUCUCUCAGUCACUGUCAUAUGCAAAACACAUGCAUCAGAAGUAUUAGUAAUAUGCAAAACCAUACUCAAAAUAGCACGCAUGCACAUUUAAAAGCAGAUAUUAAAACACACUGCAAUGUGUUUCUGGAUGCUUGUUUACUAACUCGUGUCAAGAGUCCACCCACAAGUCUUUAUGAUAUGCUGGCCUCAAGAUAUGACUUCAGUCCAGGGCUGCAUGAUUAGUCAGAAUAAAACCGAAAUCGUGAUAUGGCUUGGUGCGAUUACAAAAUCACAGAGGCUGUGAUUUAAUUAAAUAAAUACAUGUGCUGCGGGUUUCAGAAAGAAGCACACUUCUUUUACAUGUGAGCAGCUCAUGAUCCAGUGUUUUUAGUGUCUCUACAUGUGCUCUGAUUUUGGGAAAAGCAACUUGUCAAAAAUCAUCCCAAACUUGCAAGGAGAAGCGCUUAUAAACCGGUUGUUGCAUGACUAUAUAUAAAAUCUCUUGAUACAAGUCUGUGGGAUGUUUUCCUCUUUUUAUCGUUGCCCAGUUGAAAAUAGUCUAACAAGCCACACAGUUUAAGGUAUUGCCCAUGUGCGUAGCACAAACAGAGCAAUAUGAAGUUUAGUGGUUUGCUAAAAUCAUAACCCUUAAUAUGAGCAACAGUAACAGAAAUACUUGUGUACGAUUCAUAACAAUGAGUGCAGGACUGAGAUCUGAGCACUGAGCUGGUCUCUCCACUAGAGGGCAGCUGUGCACCGCAGUAUACGUACACAGGAAAGAGAUGCCUCUUGAUUUAGUUAGUGGGCAUCUGGCAUCAUAAUGGUCCACUGCUGUCGUCCAGCUGUGCAUAUUCACAACAUGGCCGUAUAUCAUAUCUAUCUGGUUAGACCUGCCACUUCGUGUGGCCUGAAAGCCAAUUUUCCCAACCUAAAUACUGAUCUUAUCCAUCCCGCAUAACAUAUAGGAAGACUAGUUCAGAUGUUUUCUAAUGUCACAGGCUCUUUCAUGCAUAGUGUCACUAUUUGCAUUCUUUUGAGAUUCACAUCUAUUGUCUUGUAUCAGAUUCUGCUCUUUUCUUUCUCUCUCUCUCUCUCUCUCUCUCAAGCAAACAGAAAACCAGGUAGGGAGCAUUUUUCACACAAUGCCUUCACCUGUGAGUGUUCAGGACCCGUCCUCCCCCCACCCUGACCGAUAAAACACAUUGUCUGUGGAAAAACACAGCCUCCGCUUCUUUUGAACAGGACAAUCUCCUUUCCUGCUUGACAUCAUCUAAUACAAGAGUGUCCACAUUUACCCCGGCUUUCCAGGGCGGAGAGACGAGCUUUGCUUGAGUAAUUGCAUGGCAUGAGUCCCUUGUUCGCCACAGCGAUGAGCCAACCCUCGGCAGGGAGGACAGGUGCCGAACAACAGGGCUUCACACCUACAGAUCUGGCUCCUGUACUUCUAUUGUGUGCACAAUAUAUCAGGAGGUGAGCUUUUGCUUCCGGCGGGGUAAAUGAAUGGGUGGAUUUGCUAGCAGGUUUCAGAUUGAAGUCCGUGUGGAAUUCCAUCAGAAAGGUCGAGCCGUGGCCUGGAUGUGCGUGUGUGACGGGAGGCGGGGGCGGGAGGUGGAGGAGCGAUGAAUAUUUCACCAGGUCCAGAGAGAGGAGUAUCCAGUUUCACAGCCUGGCCAUUGACACCC